rnacentral:rRNA from 1 species
UAGAGUUUGAUCAUGGCUCAGAUUGAACGCUGGCGGCAGGCCUAACACAUGCAAGUCGAGCGGUAACAUGUCUAGCUUGCUAGAUGAUGACGAGCGGCGGACGGGUGAGUAAUGCUUGGGGAUCUGCCUUAGAGUGGAGGAUAACCAUUGGAAACGAUGGCUAAUACUGCAUAGUAUCUGCGGAUUAAAGGGGGCUUAGGCUCUUGCUUUAAGAUGAACCCAAGUGGGAUUAGCUAGUUGGUGAGGUAAUGGCUCACCAAGGCGACGAUCCCUAGCUGGUCUGAGAGGAUGAUCAGCCACACUGGAACUGAGACACGGUCCAGACUCCUACGGGAGGCAGCAGUGGGGAAUAUUGCACAAUGGGCGAAAGCCUGAUGCAGCCAUGCCGCGUGUGUGAAGAAGGCCCUAGGGUUGUAAAGCACUUUCAGUCAGGAGGAAAGGUUAGUAGUUAAUACCUGCUAGCUGUGACGUUACUGACAGAAGAAGCACCGGCUAACUUCGUGCCAGCAGCCGCGGUAAUACGAGGGGUGCAAGCGUUAAUCGGAAUUACUGGGCGUAAAGCGAGCGUAGGCGGCUGAAUAAGCUGGAUGUGAAAAACCGGGGCUCAACCUCGGCCGUGCAUUCAAAACUGUUUAGCUAGAGUCCUGUAGAGGGGGGUAGAAUUUCA